rnacentral:lncRNA from 1 species
GUUCAAGCGAUUUUCAUGCCUCGGCCUCCCAAGUAGCUGGGAUUACAGAGAGCACCUGCAGCCUAAACAAGGACAAAAGUUGAAGCAUGGAUCUUUCUGUGCAGCAGCUGUGAUUUCUGCACCUUCUAGCUCCCUCGCCGAGCACCACUCCCUCAUAUCUUGCUGGCAGAGCAAGGCAGCAUCGUGAGCAGAGCAAGUCCUAAGAAGUACAUGGGUUCAAAUCUGGUCUCUGUCACUGACCAACAGACUCUUUACCUUUCUGAGCCUUAGUUUCUUCAACUCCUGCUUCAUUUCACAUUUUAAAAAGUAGAAUAAAGACAAACUCCAUGUUUUUA